AGGCGUCACCAGCGCUGAGGGUUUGUGACCGCGCCAGCGGCAGGACACGCCGACCGGACCGCCCUGGAGCUCAGCAGGAGGCGCUGAAGAGGAACCCGGCGACGCGGGAAGACGGCCGUUGGCGCACGUGGCGUUUUCCUCUGCCGAAGAUGGGUUCGUUCCCUCGGCCCUCUGAAAGCUAAGUGGAGGCGCGAGGGCUGGGAAGGGGCCGGGAAUGGCAGGGACGGGGGGUUUAGCUCUGCUAAGGGCAAGGGCCGUCCAGGAACCGCGCCCUUGGCGCGGGUCAAGGGCCCGGGGACCUUUACCGUGCGAUGCCAGCGUGUGCCGGGCAGGGCAGCUCCAGCCUGCGUCUGCGUUGUGGUGUAGUUCGGGAAGCCUGCCUUGCGCCUGUCAGCCGAUCCUGGGGUCUCGUUGCGUUCCAGGGGCACGACAGGCCUCUCGGGUGCCAUCCCGGGAUCUGGAACGCCGGUGCCGAUUGGGCGCCGGUUUUCUGGUGUCGGGAGCCGAAAGCGUUGUGGUUCUUGCCUUUCGGCCACUUCUGUUCAGGGGUGUUUGCGGCGUUGUACUUGGCUGUGCCGGCAGCCGUGCUCUCUACCCAUCCAGUCUAAGGGACUGGCACUUCUUCCCAGCAUCUUGAAGGUUUUAGGUCUUGUAGCAGCUUCUCGUAUUUGUGCCGUCUCUGUGUGUUUGCGCCAGUGCCGCCGUCUCUGCGUGUUUGCGCCAGUGCCGCCGUCUCAUAAGAGGCCGUGACGUUCGGCUCUCAUUUUUCUGGGGUUGCAGUAGAGGCUCCUCGCCUCACCCCUGCCUCCCCGCAGGUUAUUUUUAUCGUUGCCGUCUCUGGUUCGGAGUCAUUUUUGUUGCGGAGCAUUUUUGGUGUUAUUGCUGUCGGGUCGUCUAUAAUGUUGUGUGGAGCAUCUGUCUAAGCACGUGCGCGUUUGGCUCGGAGCUGCUCUGCCCGGAGGUGUAGAGUCAGGAGCGGGCGGACUGAGUUUAGGAGUCCACGAUUGAUCUGUGGACACGUUAUCCUGCGUAGGCAGAGGUUGUGCGGUCAUCUGGGACGGAGUAGCCGUGGGCAGGGGAGCGGACAGUCCGUUCCCCAGUGGUCUUUGGGACUCAAUUAGACCUUCUUGUGGGAUUCCUGAAUAGAAAGCAGACCUGUGGAACGGUCAAGCUGUUGAUGAGCUCCUGGGUAACUUGUUGAAUACCUUGGUUUCAGAUGCAGAGGGACAACUCGGCACGAACGAGCGACGGAGGAGGCGAGCCGAGCGCCGUGUGAAGCAAAGUGGAAAGCUGGGUAUCGGCAGCGCAGCUCCUCUGGCAAGAUGUUGAAGAGGAACCCGGCGACGCAGGAAGAUCCCCGUUAGCGCACGUGGCGUUUUCUUCCGUCGAAGAUGGGUUCGGUCCCUCGGCCCUCUGAAAGCUAAGUGGAGGCACGGGGGCUGGGAAGGGGCCGGGAGUCGCAGGGACGGGGGGUUUAGCUCCGCUAAGGGCAAGGGCCGUCCAGUAAGCAGGUGGGGCGGUGCGUGGUGUCAAAGGGAAGAUGUGCCUCGUGCCUUUAUACUGUGCGCUCGCUCAGCUCAGCGAGCGUGUGUUUUCUUUUGUUGCUGUAGAUGCUGAGGAGGAACCCGGUGAUGCUGGAAUAUCCCUGUCAGCGCACGUGGCGUUUUCUUCUGUUGAAGACGGAUUCAGUUUCUUGGCCCUCUGAAAGCUAAGUGGAGGCUGGGGGCCUGGGAAGGGGCUGAAAACUGCAGGGAGGGGGGUUAAGUUCCGUUCGGGGCAAGGGUUAUCCGGGAACAGUCUCCCUUGGGCAGGUGAAGGGUCCAGGGAAUUUCACAGCGCGAUGCCAGCGUGCGCCGGGCAGGGCAGCUCCAGCCAACGUCUGCGUCGCUGUGUAGUUCGGGAAGCCUGCCUUGCGCCUGUGUGACGAUCCUGGGGUCUCAUCGCGUUUGAGGGACACAAAAGUUUACUCGGGUGCCAUUCCGGGAUCUGCAACGCCGGUGCCGAUUGGCGUAGCGCCAAUUGGGUGCCGGUUCUGUCGUAUCAGCAUUUGAAAGCGUGGCAGGUCCUUGCGUUUUGGAUGUUUCUGGUCAGUUGUGUGUUAUGGCGUCAUUGAGGGCUGCGUUGGCAGCUCUGCUCUCUACCCAUCCAGUCUUGGGGACUGGCACUUCUUCCCAGCAUCUCUGUGUGUGUGCGCCAGUGCCGCCGUCUCUGUGUGUGUGCGCCAGUGCCGCCGUCUCUGUGUGUGUGCGCCAGUGCCGCCGUCUCUGUGUGUGUGCGCCAGUGCCGCCGUCUCUGUGUGUGUGCGCCAGUGCCGCCGUCUCUGUGUGUGUGCGCCAGUGCCGCCGUCUCUGUGUGUGUGCGCCAGUGCCGCCGUCUCUGUGUGUGUGCGCCAGUGCCGCCGUCUCUGUGUGUGUGCGCCAGUGCCGCCGUCUCUGUGUGUGUGCGCCAGUGCCGCCGUCUCUGUGUGUGUGCGCCAGUGCCGCCGUCUCUGUGUGUGUGCGCCAGUGCCGCCGUCUCAUAAGAGGCCGUGACGUUCGGCUCCUUUUUUUUCUGGGGUUGCAGUAGAGGCUCCUCGCCUCACUGGCUUAGCGAGCGCGUGCUUUCUCGUGCUCCUGCAGGCGCUGAAGAGGAACCCGGCGACGCGGGAAGACGGUCGUUGGCGCACGUGGCGUUUUCCUCUGCCGAAGAUGGGUUCGGUCCCUCGGCCGCUUCUGUUCAGGGGUGUUUGCGGCGUUGUCCUGGGCUGUGCCGGCAGCCGUGCUCUCUACCCAUCCAGUCUCAGGGACUGGCACUUCUUCCCAGCAUCUUGAAGUUUUUAGCGUUUGCCGCAGCUUUUUGCGCUGGUGUUGCUCUCUCUGUUUGUUGUGGCGGUGCCAUUUCAUAAGGGUCCGUGGAGUUCUGUUCCUUUUUAUUCUGGUGUUGCAGCAGAGGCUCCUUGCCUUCCCACUGCCUCCCUGCAGGUUGUUUUGAUCGAUGCCAUGUCUCUUCUUGGAAUCGUUCUUGUUGUUGAACAUUUUUGGUGCUGUUUCAGUCAUGUGGUCUAUCACGUUCUGUGGAGUCUUGUUGUGCACAUGUGCAUGUUGGGUGGGAGCUGUUGUGCCCAGAGUUGUAGAGUCGGGGUGGGUGGACUGAGCUCUAGGUGUCCACCGUUCACUUGUUGACAUAUUAAAUUGCGUAGGCAAAGUUCAUACGAUCAUCUGGCACGGAGUUGCGAUGGGUAGGAGGGAGGACUUUCCCUGUACUGGUGUUUUACAGUUCAUACUCAAGACUGUUGUUAACUAAUGUUUUCUGUAGUGUGAUGUUUUUUCAGAGUAUUCUAACUUUUCUUUUUUUUUUUUUUUAGGUGACCACAUUGUUAAUAUGACUGUAAAUAGUAUCUACAGCUGCACAAAUCAACUACCUGUCUGAGGUCAGUACAAAGGAUCCUCUGAGAAUCAAGAAGACCCCAGAGUCAGCUGUUGCUAUUGGACUGUAUUGUCACUUUUCCAUGUGAGAGAUGGGACCUGACACACCAAUGUGAUGUUUACCGAGUUCACUUUAUUGUCGGACUUUAUACAAAGCUGCCCUCUCCACGUGCCUUGCAACAAUGUGAUUGGUUGUAUCACAUGCUAUACAAUAACGUGAUAGGCUGCAUGCACUGUCCACGCGCUCUGCACAUGUGUGUCUGGCGCUUGCUCAUUCACUGUUACCUUCUUAUGGGGCUCCUUUUGUUUCUCUUGUCUCUGGCUUCACCUCUCAGCCAGGCUGGCGACAACCCCAUCCCCCCGGGGCGGGGGGGGGACUCUGCCUCGCUAUCUCCCCCUCGUUAAUAUUUUAUUAAAUAAAAAAUACCCUGUAUUUCACACUGUCUUCAAAGCAUGAUACAGAUUAAGAACAUUAAGGCUAAUAUAAUUACAAUUAACAAGAACAGUUCCAUUUUCAAUAUUCCUUUUAACCAGCAGGGUAUCCAACUCAGAAAACCCAACAUCUUCUGUUAUUUUAAUGUUCAGCAAAUCUUCUAUCUUAUGAAGAGUUUGGUUGUAUGUGUUGUUUGAAAUUAAAAUAUAGCUGUGACCAUGGCCCAUAACACGAAAUUAAUCGCUGCUCUGUUUUACAAAGUGGUGUGACAAUCUUGAAGCACUGCCCCCCAUGCUUAGCAGAACUAAGACCUUGUUAUGCCUUAAACAUCUGGUUUUUGUUACGUGGGGAGGAAGAGAGAGAUGACACCUCAUCUUAUCUUUCCCAAAGUUUUAUGGCUAUGAAGGCAGAUGCCUUGGAAGAUAAGGACAAUUGACAGUGUUGCCGUGAAAGGUUUCACGGCCUAAUUGGGAUGAUAGAGAUGAACCAUCUGUCGAACAGCCAACUACCAGAAGAGACCACGAACCAACAGCUACCCCUGACGGGCGAGACAUCUCGCUUCUGCUCAGUACCAUGAACUUCUCCUAGUUUGAAGACCCCAGAGCCGUUCCAGAAGAGUCUUCCUAAUUAGCAGGAAGAGCGAGAAGAGGGAGGAGAUGAACCGCCUUAUACUAUCUUGCAUGUAAAUGAACUGGCUUAUUAAACAACCUCACGUACGAUACAGGUCACCAGCAUGUAAAUCUUCAACGCGUCCCCUACUCCACAGGUCGUCACAGGACCGACGUGCCUGAGGAGUGGUGAUAUCUUACUCUUUGUCUCUCUCUCUCUCUGCCUUUCUUUUUCUGAUAUCUUAGUUUUCCUCUUCUCUCUCUCUCUCUCUUCCUUUUCCUUACAAUGGUAUUUAUAUGUUUAAGUUCUGCUGCUAAAGUCUUGUUAAGUUUUGCAUUACAGUUACUAAUUGUUGCCAAUCCACUGCUUUUAGAAGGGUUUUUGCUGACAAUGUAUUGAUAAGUUUUGUGCUAUUGUAACAUACUUUUGCCAAGUCACUGAUUGCUGUAAUUUGUAUACCACCACGCGCUUCUAGUAAAUUCAUAAUUGGACCCCCGCA